AAUGCGGCCUUCUCUUUGGGGAGUAGCCAGCUUCCGGAUCAUCCGGAAGAGCCCGUGUCAACAUUCUCGGCAGCAGCAGCUGCCGUGGCGCGGGUAGCCAAUCGGUAGGCGAGACCAUAGACGUUUCCUGCGGCCAGGCUGGGCGCGCAGGCGCGUCCAUGGACUUUUCGCCCGGCCAAGGAAU
rnacentral:sRNA from 2 species